rnacentral:rRNA from 1 species
AGCUUCAGUAGCGUAUAUUAAAGUUGUUGCAGUUAAAAAGCUCGUAGUCGCAUUUCUGGCGAGAGGACCCGGUCCGACCUUUUGGUGGGUUCUUGGGUCUUUUUCGCCAUCCUUGAGUGGUCCGUUCUGGCAUUAGGUUGUCGGAGCGUCAGCCGCUCAUCGUUUACUGUGAGAAAAUUAGAGUGUUCAAAGCAGGCUUAUGCCGUUGAAUAUAUUAGCAUGGAAUAAUAAGAUAGGACCUCGGUACUAUUUUGUUGGUUUGCGCACCAAGGUAAUGAUGAACAGGGACAGUUGGGGGUAUUUGUAUUUCGUUGUCAGAGGUGAAAUUCUUAGAUUUACGAAAGACAAACUACUGCGAAAGCAUUUACCAAGGAUGUUUUCA